AACGAACGCUGGCGGCAGACUUAACACAUGCAAGUCGAACGCAUCCUUCGGGGUGAGUGGCAGACGGGUGAGUAACGCGUGGGAACGUGCCCUUCAGUUCGGGAUAACCCAGGGAAACUUGGGCGAAUACCGGAUACGCGCGAGAGCAGAACGAUUUAUCGCUGAAGGAUCGGCCCGCGUUUGAUUAGCUAGUUGGUGGGGUAAUGGCCCACCAAGGCGAUGAUCAGUAGCUGGUCUGGGAGGAUGAUCAGCCACAUUGGGACUGAGACACGGCCCAAACUCCUACGGGAGGCAGCAGUGGGGAAUAUUGGACAAUGGGCGCAAGCCUGAUCCAGCCAUGCCGCGUGAGUGAUGAAGGCCUUAGGGUUGUAAAGCUCUUUCGUCCGGGACGAUAAUGACGGUACCGGAAGAAGAAGCCCCGGCUAACUUCGUGCCAGCCGCCGCGGUAA
rnacentral:rRNA from 1 species